UCCAGGAGUCGACUCUUGCAGCUGGAGUAAAGCAUUCGCUCCUUGAUGCUGCAGCUGUAUCCAGGCAUGGAGUAGAUGAACACUACAAACACAAUGAGAGACGUUAAAUUGACGGAAGCGCUCAAACCAUCACUUUAGUGGCAGUUGGUGGCAGUUAUGUGCCAUUAAACUGGUUUGCCAACUGCCAACAGACACUACAGAAGAACAAGGAAGGAUACAAUACAUGAGUGCAAUACUGUUGGGCAGCCGUGGCCCAAUGGUUAAGAUCAUCGCCUGCCACCGUGGGGGACCUAGGUUCAAAACCCCGACUGGACCAUCCGCCAACAUCCCCCGGACUCACGGCUGUGGUGUCCUUGAGCAAGACACUGAUACCCCGAAAUGCUCCCCGGGCGCUUCAGCUGCCCCCUGCUCCAGUGUGUUCCACUAACAUGUGUAUGUGUUCACUGUGAUGGGUUAAAUGCAGAGAACAAAUUUCGUGUGCAUGCAUGCAUGUUCAUGACAA